rnacentral:rRNA from 1 species
UACGUAGGGGGCAAGCGUGGUCCGGAUUUAUGGGGCGUAAAGAGCGUGUGGGCGGCCAGACAGGUCAGCUGUGAAAACUCGAGGCUCAACCUCGAGACGUCGGUUGAAACCGUCUGGCUAGAGUCCGGAAGAGGAGAGUGGAAUUCCCGGUGUAGCGGUGAAAUGCGCAGAUAUCGGGAAGAACACCCGUGGCGAAGGCGGCUCUCUGGGACGGUACUGACGCUGAGACGCGAAAGCGUGGGGAGCGAACAGG